rnacentral:lncRNA from 1 species
CACCCAGGCAGCUUCAAUGCCUUUGCUCUUUGGUGCUGUAACACUGUGGGCAAUGUGCACACAGGAGUCAUAAUGCCUGUUAUGCUCCUGGCUGCCUCAGAAGGAAGAUCUUAUCUUGUUCCACACUGGAGUCCCUGGUGAAGCUGACAGCUCUUCAUUCCCUCUUCAGAGAAGGUGAGGAAUCAGGCUGGCAGUCCACAAAAGGCAGCUGCUCUCCAAGUGCUGAGUAGACGUCAUCUGUAAUUGGGAUCAUGAUGUGAUUGAAGGGCUGCACCCAUAAACUCACAGGUCCUAUCGAGUACCAUGGUGCUCGGAAAUAUACUAAUAGUUUUAUUCCAGGAUUUAGUCCUCCGAGUCUUCAAACAUCCCUAGUUCAAAAAGAAAUCCUUUGUCCACUCUUCUUCAUUUACUCCCCAA